rnacentral:rRNA from 1 species
UACGUAGGGUGCAAGCGUUGUCCGGAAUUAUUGGGCGUAAAGAGCUCGUAGGCGGUUUGUUGCGUCGGCUGUGAAAACCUGAGGCUCAACCUCAGGCCUGCAGUCGAUACGAGCAGACUAGAGUGUUGCAGGGGAGACUGGAAUUCCUGGUAUAGCGGUGAAAUGCGCAGAUAUCAGGAGGAACACCGGUGGCGAAGGCGGGUCUCUGGGCAACAACUGACGCUGAGGAGCGAAAGCGUGGGGAGCGAACAGG